UCAGAUCUAAGUCCUCUUCAAUCCCUUUAAACCUUUCCUCCAAGUUCUUCCAAGAAGGCGGAUCAAAAGUUGAUAGCGUUUGGAAGAUCAAAAUUCAGCCUCAAGAAAUUCUGUGCAAGCUAGCACUUCCGCAGGAUUGGAUCUCUUCAGGAACUUUGCGUGGACUUCUCGUAGAGGCCAUUCGUGUGCGUGGCUGCAAAGUCGAGGAUCAGAUCCACAAGUUUCAUCCAUCAUAAAAGGUAUUAAUCCUACAUUAAUCUUUUAUUAUGGUGUCAAGAUCUAGGUCUGAUUCCCCGAGGUUUUACCCUCUUUUGGGGCUCCUCACGGAGAUAUCUCCAGAAUCCAUUCAAUGGAUAUUCGGAGAUUAAUCGGAAUAGAGUUCUUAAGUUUCAGAUCUGAUAGUUAAUCAUGCAUGAAAGUUUUAGCAUAAUUGUUUAAACGAUUCCGGCAUAAUCCUAUGUGUUCUUAAGGUGCUAAUU
rnacentral:lncRNA from 1 species